UAUUAGGUUGGUGCAAAAGUAAUUGCAGUUUUCGCCAUUAAAAGUAAUGGCGAAAACUGCAAUUAUUUUUUCAUCAACCUAAUA
rnacentral:pre_miRNA from 1 species